CAUCCUCUGCCCAACUAGCUGUCAAGCAAUUGUUUGUAAGCCUUAGCUUCAUCAAAACUUGCAGUAAGUUUUAUCACCAAAAAGUUAACUCAGUAAAGCAUGCUUACUUACACGCUCAUUUUGUUGUUGAUUAUUAGAAGAGCUUAAGACAAAUUAUUUGCAAUUUCUUUCAUUCUAGAUGGAGAGAGGCUUUGUUCGUGUUAUAGCUUUAAUAACUAGACAAAUGGUAAUAAGUGGCCACAGGCAAUGGGUAGCUGUGAACAUCACAGCAAAAUCCUUGUGGUGAUGGAAACAGAGCAGGAAUGGGAAUUUAUCAAAAAUGCGAUUCAAGACCGGGUAGGCAGCAAAUAUGGUGAAUGGUUCAUAGGCUUGGAGCAAAAUUUCACAACAGAGAAAUGGACUUGGAUCAAUGGUAAACCUCUGAGUAUUGACAAAUGGCAGAGCUCAAAUCCUGAACCGAACGACCUUUAUGGGCUGAUUCAUAAAGAAUUUCCAGUUGGAUUCAAAGGAUCUUUUAGUACCAUAAAAGGUGUCAUACAAAGAGGUUGGAUUUGCGAGGAAGAAACAGACAAUUGUCGAGGAGACUGUUUCUCGCACGCUGUUCCGACAAGUAGCAGUCUGCCUGGAACAAAAGCUGCUUCUACACGAGGGAAGACGUCAAGUGAACAAGAUAUCACCAAUCCUCCUGGAACAAAAGCUGUUACUACGUGAGGGAAGAUGUCAACUGAACAAGAUAUCACCAAUCCUCCUGGAACAAAAGCUGUUACUACACCGCGAGGGAAUACGUCAACUGAACAAUAUAUCACUGAUGAAUCAGGGUCUUCAACAAAUGUCUUCACCCCUACCCCGCCAAAAUCAACAGACGAAGUCCUCAUGGAUGACAAAAGCAGUCCUUCUCCUACAGUAACGAUAGCAGCCGCCUCUUUAGGCGUAGUGCUCUUCAAAGUGUUGAUCAUUUUUGUUGUAGUCAUAUUGCUAUGGCGAAAGAAACA
rnacentral:misc_RNA from 1 species